CACGUAGGGGCGAGCGUUGUCCGGAUUUAUUGGGCGUAAAGAGCUCGUAGGCGGCUCGGUAAGUCGGGUGUGAAAUUUCGAGGCUCAACCUCGAAACGCCACCCGAUACUGCUGUGGCUAGAGUCCGGUAGGGGAGCGUGGAAUUCCUGGUGUAGCGGUGAAAUGCGCAGAUAUCAGGAGGAACACCAGCGGCGAAGGCGGCGCUCUGGGCCGGUACUGACGCUGAGGAGCGAAAGUGUGGGGAGCAAACGGG
rnacentral:rRNA from 1 species